GUGUGUGUGUGUGUCUGUGUUUGCCACCGUCACCUGGCCUGAUGCCUCUGCUGUUGCCACUGCCUAGGUCCUUAGUCAGAGACUCGUCGUUUCGCAGCUCUCACCUCUCCAUAGCAACCGGAGGUGUGCAGACUCAGAGUGGACUUCCCGGGCUUGGCGGUACAGUUCGUCAUGUGCUCUGUGGACUCACACAAAUCUGUAAGGACUAAAUGAGGAAAUGCCCCAUGAGGAGUUAUCUCCUUCAGAGUCUCGGUGCAUCAGAUGAUGGCCAAAAACAACCACGCUGUUUGGAAGGUGAUGUAUCGGCUGCAUGUGGAGCUCUGUGUCUGUAUCAGUAUAAGCACUGGUUCACCUGUGCCAGAUGUUCAACAUAAUAGACUCAGUGCUGCUGGAUUUCUGCUCUGUCAUGGAAAUGGGAGCAUGACUGGGACAAUUACAGGAAGCCUGGGGCACCCAGCCUCGCUAACCUUUACAUAAAAACACCUCUUAUUAUAAGAGGAUGAAAACUUUAUUUUCAGAGGCUCUUUGAUGGGGUGUCAUGUUGCAGCACAGUUGUCCACCCUUCCUGCAGCGCCAGCAGCCGACAAACUCUCAGCUCCUCUGGAAUCUUUUGGAUGACACUGGAAACGGGUUGAUGAGUCUAAAAACGGACAUCGGCCUCCAACAGUUAUUGUCUCCCGUCCGUCACUCCCUUUUUCCCCUCCCACAGCUGUUUCGCAUGAGGACCGUGACAGCUGGUUGCAGGGAACGUGCUCGUUACCGAGGUCAGGGUGGCAAGGAAACACACUGAACUAUGGGAAGUCCCAGGGUGGGAGGCACUGGAAAUGAUGAGGAGCGGCUGAUGGUAAAGUGUAUCCGUCAGCUGUUACAUCAGUAAAGAUUCAUGAUCAUCUCCCUUUUGUUUCUGUUUCUGUUUUGUAUAUCUCAAAAGAAAACCAGGCAUUUAAUCACAGCCCCUAAAACUGAGUCCUUGAGUCGUGAGUCUUUGUUCAGUCUGUAUUGUCGUGUCAAUUACUCUUUUUUGUAAAGCACUUUAACUCUAUUAAAAUUACAAUAUAAAUGUUUUA